GAUCAAAAUCCACCGCCUCAAUCUUCCCUCCCUAUCGCCAUCUCCGUCGUCAAUUGCCGGUUCUAUCACGCAAAGUCCUAUCAAAAUCUCCGGUUGACUUGAUCGUCUUCAUAGCAAACGGCUAAAGCGAACAAAGACGAAUCAUGAUUCAUCACCGACCGUUGGCUUUUAUUUCUGGAAUGAUUCUAAACGAAGAAGAAUCUGUAUCAUCUUCCAUCAUGACGCUCUUCUCUUCUCUGGUUUGGUUGGUGUAGAUUCUGAGAAGAGUAACGACAAAUCAACAAAUCAAUCGUCGAACAAGUUGGAGCCGAAGAUCAACAACAACUUAUGGAAUUCAAAGAAAUUAUAAACGAAAUAGAAGUAUAAAUCGAAGAAGAGAAUCGAAAAAAAUCAAAGAAUGAAAUUGCAUCUUUCUUUAACUCUCUCUGUCUAUGUGUUUCUUGUUUCUCUGGUGUGUUUGCGACGAUCGUCGUCUAACGGCUAUAACGUUGAGUCUAUUUAUAAACUCAUGUGUUAGGAAGUUUCAUUUACAUGUGUUGAUUUCCUUUUUUCACUUCUCGGUUUAUUUUGGCAAUUACUAAACCAUCAAAAAAUAAUUUAAUUUAGUUACUUAACCGUCACGUAGCCUCCUCCU
rnacentral:lncRNA from 1 species